AUAUAUGGGGAAGAAAGAAAGCUUUGAAGUGGUGAUGUCAGUGUAGCUACUCUGAAAUUCAUGAAUCAGCCUUCACAAGCUUUUCAGAGGCUUUAAAAGAUGAUUAAUUUAUCAACUACUACUGAAAUAGCCAUAAACAACUUAAUAAACCUAGUAAAACUUCAGAA